GACGAACGCUGGCGGCGUGCUUAACACAUGCAAGUCGAACGGAAAGGCCCUGCUUUUGUGGGGUGCUCGAGUGGCGAACGGGUGAGUAACACGUGAGUAACCUGCACUUGACUUUGGGAUAACUUCAGGAAACUGGGGCUAAUACCGGAUAGGAGCUCCUGCUGCAUGGUGGGGGUUGGAAAGUUUCGGCGGUUGGGGAUGGACUCGCGGCUUAUGAGCUGGGUGGGGGGGUAGUGGCUUACCAAGGCUUUGACGGGUAGCCGGCCUGAGAGGGUGACCGGCCACCCGGGGAGUGAGACAGGGGACAGGGUCAUACGGGAGGCAGCAGGAGGGAAUCGGCCGCAAUGGGCGAGAGUCUGACGGAGCGGCGACGAGUGAGUAAUGGAGGUGCUCGGGGCGGAAAACUCGGUUGUUGGGGAAGAACAUAUGUGUAAGUAACUGUGCACGGCUUGACGGUACCUAAUGAGAAAGCCAAGGCUAACUACGUG
rnacentral:rRNA from 1 species